rnacentral:rRNA from 1 species
ACAACGAAGAGUUUGAUCGCGCUCGGGAUGAACGCUAGCUACAGGCCUAACACAUGCAAGUCGAGGGGCAGCAUAGUAGCAAUACUGAUGGCGACCGGCGCACGGGUGCGUAACGCGUAUGCAACCUGCCUUAUACAGGGGGAUAGCUUUCGGAAACGAGAAUUAAUACCCCAUAACAUUUUGGUAAACCUUUACUGAAAUUAAAAACCUCCGGCGGUAUAAGAUGGGCAUGCGUGACAUUAGCUAGUUGGUAGGGUAGCGGGCCACCAAGGCGAUGAUGUUCAGGUUCUGAGAGGAUGAUCCCCCCCCACCCUGGUACUGAGACACGAACGAGACUCCUACGGAGGCGCAACAGGAAUAUUGGGCAAUGGAGGCAACUCUGACCCAGCCAUGCCGCGUGCAGGAAGACAGCCCUAUGGGUUUUAAACUGCUUUUAUACAAGGGCGAAUUCUGUUACAGUAACAGGUUGACGGUACUGCAUGAAUCCGGCUAACUCCGUGCCAGCAGCCGCGGUAAUACGGAGGAUCCGAGCGUUAUCGGAUUUAUUGGGUUUAAAGGGUGCAGGGCGGUUCAUUAAGUUCAGUGGUGAAAUCCUAUCGGGCUCAACCCGGUCAUCGCCAUUGAUACUGGUAGACUUGAGUACAGGUGACGGAGGCGGAAUUGGACAAGGUAGCGGUGAAAUGCCUAGAUAUGUCCAAGAACACCGAUUGGGAAAAGCAGCCAUACGAAACUGUAACUGACGCUGAUGCACGAAAGCGUGGGUAUCGGGAACAGGAUUAGAUGUACUUGGUAGUCCACGCCGUAAACGAUGAUUACUGGUUGUUUGUUUGAAUAGAUAAGCGACUGAACGAAAGUAUUAAGUAAUCCACCUACAUGGUACGUUGGCAACAAUGAAACUCAAAGGAAUUGACGCGUUUAAGCGACAGGUGCAUGUGGUUUAAUUCGAUGAUACGCUGAGGAACCUUGACCCGGGCUUAAAUGUAGAGUGGCAUAAAGCGUAGAGAUGUUUUUCUCCUUCACGGGACUCUUUACAAGGUGCUGCCUGGUUUGUCGUCAGCUCGUGCCGUAGAGGUGUCAGGGUUAGAGUCCCCUAACGAGCGCAACCCUUGUCGUUGGUUGCCACCGGGUUAAGCUGGGCACUCUAGCGAGACUGCCGCCGUAAGGCGCGAGGAA